UUGGAACAAAUUUGUAGGGACCUAAAAACAUAGGUUGAUAUGUGAUAUUGUAAUGAAUACAAAGACAACAUCAGCAUGGCAGACUGCCAUAUAAGAUAGAGUAUAAGAUAAAAGGACAGUAUGUUACUUCUCUCCGAUUGCACAUGGAUAGUUUGAUGUUGCGGUGCACGUGUAGUUUAUUCACGGGGAUGUAUAUGCAUAAUUCAGUAAUGGAUUGUUUGUUUUCUCCCUGCGAACACUAACUGCUAGCAUAUGCAUUUAUUUGCUGAUUCUAACAAGAUGCAUCGCUAUAUCGAUAAUACAGUAAGCACCUCCUGAAGUUCUGAACUGUCAGGUGGUGCCCUUGCAUAGUUGGCUGGUUCUCUUAAUUUUCUUUUUCCCUGCAUUCUAAUUUCCUGGUUUUCCAUCGCUCCAAAAGUGUACUUCAAAAUGAGUGUGCAUGUAUUCAGUAUUCAGAGAGAUGGGGUACUAUGUAGACAUUCAUUGUAUUUGUUAUGUACCUGUUUACUUAAUAAUCAUUAUGUCAGUUACGGUUGCUUUGAAAUCAUUCUCUUAAUAGUCAUUAUGUUCGACAGGUGCACGGGCUUUCAGAUCUAAGGUUCACCGGCACACAAGAGUCACUUGGUUGUUUGAUGCAUUCGUGCUCGUCGGCGGGACGGUGCAAGGCGCAACUCCGAUGCGGUUCCUCACCGGUUGGACGGCGUUCAGGCGCAACCCCGGUGCUCACUGAGUACUGCCUCGGCUACAACCUCCCACGGUGAGGUAAAAAACGACUACGAUCGGAUUCCCUGGCUCCUCAGCGAUUUGGGCCUCCUGGCCGUUAGAUUCGUUUGCUUGAUGUGAUUCCAGCCGUCGGAUCGAGCAGUGGGAUGACCUGCGCCGUCGGAUUGAUUCGUUGCUCCUGUCGCAAUGAAAGUCACCGUUUCCCUGGGUUUUCGCUUACUCCACCGUUUUGAGCGUAUUUCGCUGGCGUGUGGGGUUUCCGGCGUGUGGGCCGCCUUGUUCAGUGACCGUGGCUAUGUGUUUUGGCUGUGUGGCCCGUGGGGCGCGUGGGCUGGCAAAUAUCUUGUGCCACCGCAAGAAAUAACGUGCCCCCGCAGAGGGUAUUUUGGUCUUUUCAUGUUUUGGCCUUGUGCGCGGUGGACGGUGGUUGGCCCGUGCGUGGAUGAGGUGGGGGAGGGCACCAGCUUGCCCUUUCGUGCUCCCAUUCGCCCUUUCUCUCUGAAUCCCCUCUUCUCUCACACGACCCUCUCUCUCGUGUUGGGGCGAUGAUGAUUAGCCGUGGCUGGAAAAAAGUGUGCCUUUGAGCAAUCGGGGCACCUGUGGGUAUCAAGUUGAAUCCUCCCUCUUGUCUCUAGAAUCCUUUUUGAUCCUGUGAUACUUGUUGCUCUGUCCUUGGAUGGUCAUUCUUGUUGAGUGAUAACCAGGGCAACUCCAUUGUAUAAACAGAUUGAUCUGGUGAUAAGAGACGGGGGUAGGUUAUAUGAUCGAGGCAAGUCAGAUCUGAGCCCACUA